rnacentral:misc_RNA from 1 species
UACGUAGGGGGCGAGCGUUGUCCGGAAUCAUUGGGCGUAAGGCGCGUGUAGGCGGCUUGGUAAGUCUGGUGUGAAACCUUGGGUCUCAACCCCAAGCGUGCACUGGAUACUGCCUCGCUUGAGUCCGGGAGGGGAGAGCGGAAUUCCUAGUGUAGCGGUGAAAUGCGCAGAUAUUAGGAAGAACACCGGUGGCGAAGGCGGCUCUCUGGAACGGUACUGACGCUGAGGCACGAAAGCGUGGGGAGCAAACAGG